GACGAACGCUGGCGGCGUGUCUAAUACAUGCAAGUCGAACGCAGUGGGGACGGGUGAGUAACACGUGGGUAACCUCCCAUCAGAGGGGAUAACACUUGGCAACAGGUGCUAAACCCAUACGGAUGGAUGGACCCGCGGUGCAUUAGCUAGUUGGUGAGGUAACGGCCCACCAGGUCAACGAUGCAUAGCGGACCUGAGAGGGUGAUCGGCCACACUGGGACUGAGACACGGCCCAGACUCCUACGGGAGGCAGCAGUGGGGAAUAUUCGGCAAUGGACGAAAGUCUGACCGAGCAACGCCGCGUGAGUGAAGAAGGUUUUCGGAUCGUAAAACUCUGUUGUUAGGGAAGCGGUACCUAACCAGAAAGCCACGGCUAACUACGUGCCAGCAGCCGCGGUAAUAC
rnacentral:rRNA from 1 species